ACAAACAUUCUAAAGUUCAUAAGAAAUGAAUACAAGAUGAUAAAACUAAUAAAUGAAAGGCUAUCCAAAAUACAAGUUCAUAAUUUCCAUUUAAUUAAAGGCUGCCCAAUUUCCAGCAUGUCCCCAUUUAAUUAAAGGCUGCCCAAUGCAGAAUUAAAGGCUGCACAUAAAAGCAGUUUAAUCAACACAAAUUUUAGGAUACAAGAUGAUCAAAAUAAGAAUUGAAUAAGAAAAUUACCAUAAUUGCAAGGUUGUGCAUCAAUAGAGAAUCAAUCAGUGAAAAUGUGCACAGGCGCAUUAGCAUUUGAUCUCUGCAUUUCUAUAUAAAAAAUAUACAUAAUCAUAUAUUUAGCUUUAGCAGGAAAAAAACAACACGUUAUAAGCAAUUAAUUGAGAAAAAUAUAUAUACCUGACUCAAUGGUUUCAUAAAACUCCAUCUCCUCAAUAGUGGGCUGAACUUGUAAAGAUAUUGAAGUGGACUUCAACCAAUUUUGUGUAUAAAUUAAAGCCUCAACCAUAGCAGGACUCAAGGAACUACGAAAUGAGUUAAUUGUUCUCCCUCCCGUGCUAAAAGUAGAUUCUGAAGCAACUGUAGAGACUGGAAUUGCAAGCACAUCUCUUGCAAUGACCGCUAAAACUGGAUAUUUAGAAGCAUUCACCCUCCACCAAUUCAAAAUAUCAAAUUGUUCAAUAUCUUGUUCUGCUGCAUCCGACAAAUACCUAUCUAUCUCAUGAGAUAAAACCACUGCCUCUUUCUCUUGUUGUCUCUUUUUCCACUUUUCCUUCAUAGCCUUUUUCCUAUCACCUCCAAAGCUUGAGGAGUUAGAACUAUCAGUCACUAUGCUGCUGCCAAUACUUGAGGAUGUAGUAGAACUACUAAAACUUUGAGUUGGAUUACUAACGAAACCUGCCUCGUACAACCCAUACAGUUUAAACAAAAGAUCUCUCACACCAGCUGUCUUCUCGGCAACAUAAGCAUUAUUUUCCACAUACAAAUCAGCAAUAUGCAUUGAUAAAUUGUCCAACUUAUACCUAGGAUCAAGAACAACAGCUAUCAACAAGAAUUGAUUCACACUAUCAAGUGAUCCCCAAUACUUGUCAUAUUUCAAUUUCAUAUUUUGAGCCAUGUUAGAUAGAAGAGGAUUGUCUACUACACUCAAUUCGGCCAAUUCACAAUCAAUUGCAAAUAAGUCAUGAAAAGUAGUAUGGGCUGUGGCAUGCAAAGUGGCACUACAUCUCAAAGUGAACUCAUAAAAACUUUUUAAAAACUUGACAAAGACAACAUCAUUUGCCCAAUCCUCCUCAACUGGUGGUGUAUUCCCUCUACCAAAGUAGCUUUUAAAAUGCCCAUCCUCAUCUUCCAACCUAGAAAAAGCCUUCUUAAAUUUCAAAGCAGCUUCUAGCAUCAUGUAGGUGGAAUUCCACCUAGUUGGCACAUCCAAGACAACCAAGCCUUUACAAUCAAUCUUAUCUUUUUCAAUGCAAGAUUUAAAAGUUUCUAAUCUUUGGGGGGAAGAUCUUACAUACAUGACAGCAUCACGAAUACUCUUAACAGAAUUAUGUAACUCUUUCAAACCAUCGGUUACAAUGAGGUUUACAAUAUGAGCACAACAUCUCAUAUGUAAGUGGACACCAUCUAACAACAAACCUCCAUUCGGCCAAACCGUCAUCUUAUUUUGCAAAUAAGAUAAGAUACAGCUUUAUCAUUUGCAGAUGCAUUAUCUAGGGUAAUUGUGAGUACCCUCUCUAUACCCCAAUCAAUCAAACACUUCUCAAUAAGUCUGCCAAUUGUCCUACCCUUGUGAUUUUGAAUUACACAGAAAUUCAACACACGCUUAUGCAACAUCCAAUCAUCAUCUAGGAAAUGUGCAGUGAGAACCAUAUAGUUCAUAUUUUGGACAGAGGUCCAUGUGUCAGUAGUAAGGCAGACUCUAUAUGCAGCUAACUUUGCUUUCAAAAGUUGCUUUUCAUCAUAGUAAAGUGCAAGCAAAUCUCUAGCAAGUGUUCUACGAGAUGGCGGUAUAAACCUAGGGCAUGCAACACUACAAAAGUGACGAAACCCUUCUCCAUCUACGAAACUAAAUGGCAACUCAUCAAUAAUAACCAUCCUAAGACAUGCUUUCCUAGAUUCUUCCUUAUUAAAUCCCGCUGCCCCAAGAGCAGUAAUACUUCCAGAUUGGUCCUUGGCAAAACUUAGGACCUUUUGGUUUGAACCAGGCACCCUAUAUGGGUAUUUUUUGCAUAAAUUAGUAAUAUGAGUUCUCAAACUUGAUGUCCCACAAGUUGCUGGAUCAUAUUUAUAGUCAGCAGUUUUGCAAUACUUACAUCUAACCCUAAUAGGUUCAGAAGGAUUACCAGUUUGAUAUUGUUCAAAGUGAUUCCACACCUCACUUGGUUGCCUAGUCGGUUUUCUCUUUUUUU
rnacentral:lncRNA from 1 species